CCUACGGGGGGCAGCAGUGGGGGAUAUUGCACAAUGGGGGGAACCCUGAUGCAGCGACGCCGCGUGGGUGAAGAAGCGCCUCGGCGCGUAAAGCCCUGUCAGCAGGGAAGAAAAUGACGGUACCUGAAGAAGAAGCCCCGGCUAACUACGUGCCAGCAGCCGCGGUAAUACGUAGGGGGCAAGCGUUAUCCGGAUUUACUGGGUGUAAAGGGGGCGCAGACGGCGGUGCAAGCCAGGGGUGAAAGCCCGGGGCCCAACCCCGGGACUGCUCUUGGAACUGCGUGGCUGGAGUGCAGGAGGGGAAGGCGGAAUUCCUGGUGUAGCGGUGGAAUGCGUAGAUAUCAGGAGGAACACCGGUGGCGAAGGCGGCCUGCUGGACUGCAACUGACGUUGAGGCCCGAAAGCGUGGGGAGCAAACAGGAUUAGAUACCCGGGUAGUC
rnacentral:rRNA from 1 species